CUGUUUUAGGAGCUGGUGGCUUAACCAAGGAAGAUGAAUGAAGGGCUGAGGACAGAAUAAGCACGAAAUUUAAGCUGCACUAAUUUCCAACCAUGAGGUGGUCCACGAGGGCCCACAGGAUCAACCGUGACACAGAAUCUUUGACUAAGAGUGCCAGGAGCAUGGGGCCAUGAAACAACUGGCAUCCACCAGAUGAGCUAACUGAGGCAGAAGUGGUAAAGCAGACUGCCCGUGACCACUCAGCUGGGACCCAGGCCAUUUUUCUCCUGCUGCUGGAACACUACUGCAGCACUAAAAAGAUAUUCCACAUACUUCAAAUUUACUCUUUCUUCUAUUACCUGAUGAAAGAACUGAAUACACUAUGUAAACCAGAGAAAUAAGAAUACUAAAGAACAAAUGAAGAAAACAAAAUGAAGGAAUUUUAAAGUUGGAAGGGACAGUGACAAAAAGCUUAGACAAAAAGCUCCC